rnacentral:lncRNA from 1 species
CUCAAUCUAUUCUCUCAAAAUUCUCUCUCGUCUUUUAAUUCUUCCAUUCUUACUGUUAAUUCUUAAGGCCCCAACUGAUUUAAUCAUCGAAUGAUCUUAAUACGGAGCAUACUUCAUCGAAGUUAAAGGCUUAUUUUGUAGGAUUUCUAUGGACUUCCUCGUAUCGCACUCGAAAACACUCCAGCUCAGUCCAAGACCAACCUCAUCAUAUAU